rnacentral:rRNA from 1 species
UUAAAUUGAAGAGUUUGAUCAUGGCUCAGAUUGAACGCUGGCGGCAGGCCUAACACAUGCAAGUCGAACGGUAACAGGAAGAAGCUUGCUUCUUUGCUGACGAGUGGCGGACGGGUGAGUAAUGUCUGGGAAACUGCCUGAUGGAGGGGGAUAACUACUGGAAACGGUAGCUAAUACCGCAUAACGUCGCAAGACCAAAGAGGGGGACCUUCGGGCCUCUUGCCAUCGGAUGUGCCCAGAUGGGAUUAGCUUGUUGGUGGGGUAACGGCUCACCAAGGCGACGAUCCCUAGCUGGUCUGAGAGGAUGACCAGCCACACUGGAACUGAGACACGGUCCAGACUCCUACGGGAGGCAGCAGUGGGGAAUAUUGCACAAUGGGCGCAAGCCUGAUGCAGCCAUGCCGCGUGUAUGAAGAAGGCCUUCGGGUUGUAAAGUACUUUCAGCGGGGAG